rnacentral:rRNA from 1 species
UACGAAGGGGGCUAGCGUUGCUCGGAAUCACUGGGCGUAAAGGGUGCGUAGGCGGGUCUUUAAGUCAGGGGUGAAAUCCUGGAGCUCAACUCCAGAACUGCCUUUGAUACUGAGGAUCUUGAGUACGGGAGAGGUGAGUGGAACUGCGAGUGUAGAGGUGAAAUUCGUAGAUAUUCGCAAGAACCCCAGUGGCGAAGGCGGCUCACUGGCCCGUAACUGACGCUGAGGCACGAAAGCGUGGGGAGCAAACAGG